AUUGAACGCUGGCGGCGUGCUUAACACAUGCAAGUCGAACGAAGUGGCUGACGGGUGAGUAACGCGUAAUCAACCUGCCCUUCAGAGGGGGACAACAGUUGGAAACGACUGCUAAUACCGCAUACUGAAGGAGGGGAUUGCGUCUGAUUAUCUAGUUGGAGGGGUAACGGCCCACCAAGGCGAUGAUCAUUAGCAGGUCUGAGAGUACGAACGGCCACAGUGGGACUGAGACACGGCCCAGACUACUACGGGAGGCAGCAGAGGGGAACCUCCCGGAAUGGAAGACAGUCUCACGGAGCAACGGCGCGUGAGUGCUGACGGUGUUCGGGUUGUAAAGCUCUGGUAAUCGGCACUAGGCACCGGACUAGAAGGCCAUGGCUAACAACGGGCCAGCAGCCGCGGUAAUAC
rnacentral:rRNA from 1 species